CCUACGGGGGGCAGCAGUGGGGAAUAUUGCACAAUGGGCGCAAGCCUGAUGCAGCCAUGCCGCGUGUGUGAAGAAGGCCUUCGGGUUGUAAAGCACUUUCAGCGGGGAGGAAGGCGUUAAGGUUAAUAACCUUGUCGAUUGACGUUACCCGCAGAAGAAGCACCGGCUAACUCCGUGCCAGCAGCCGCGGUAAUACGGAGGGUGCAAGCGUUAAUCGGAAUUACUGGGCGUAAAGCGCACGCAGGCGGUCUGUCAAGUCGGAUGUGAAGUCCCCGGGCUCAACCUGGGAACUGCAUUCGAAACUGGCAGGCUAGAGUCUUGUAGAGGGGGGUAGAAUUCCAGGUGUAGCGGUGAAAUGCGUAGAGAUCUGGAGGAAUACCGGUGGCGAAGGCGGCCCCCUGGACAAAGACUGACGCUCAGGUGCGAAAGCGUGGGGAGCAAACAGGAUUAGAUACCCGUGUAGUC
rnacentral:rRNA from 1 species